UCCGGUAUGGUCUAGUGGUUGGGAUACCUGGCUCUCACCCAGGAGGCUUGGGUUUAAUUCCCGGUAGUGGGA